GGCCUAACCCUCUCUGUAUAGCCCAGGCUGGCCUUAAACUUGUAAUCCUCUACUUCAGCCUCCCAAGACUGCGGGUGUUCCCUGGAGCACCUAGCCUACUGUCUAAUUAUAAUGAAAUGUCGUUUUAAUAACCUUUUAAACUACAUGUUCUAAUGUUAUGAUGGUAUGUAAGAUUUUGUAUUUAUUGACAUUGGUUUAGUAAAAUCUGUUACUUUUUCAAAAAGCUCUGAAAACAGCUUUAUAAAGCUAAAAUGAACCUUUUCCAGAGACAAUCUUGGAAUUGUACUAAAGAAAAGACAGAAAUGCUGAAGAUCCAUUGUUUCUUCCUCAGUCUGCCCAUGCUGAUAGCAACAAGGGUGAGUUCACCGACCUGACGCCCCAGUGAGAUACUAAUAGUCCAAGCCGUGCCUAUGGGCCACUUCCAACAGGGGUGAUAUCACCUUGGGAGACUUCAUCUUCUACAGUUAGAUUCUCAACAGGCUCCUUGCUCCGUGACAGGUGACACUGUGAGAGCUGCCUUUAAGGCAGUUUUUUUUUGUUUUUCAUUUUUCGUUUUUCUUCUGGUACCGGAAUCAAACUCACGACCUUGUGCUUGCCAGGCAGGCGCUUUGCCGCUGAGCCAAAUCCCCAGCCCCCAAGGAAGUUUUAAAAGGUGACAAAAAUCACUCAAAUGACAACCUCAAGGGGGUAAAGCCCAGGCAGUGUACACUGAGUGAGCUGCCAUGCACCCGGCUAACCUUCUGUAAAUAGAAAAGUAGCCCAUUACAAACUUUACCUCGAACCUGUUUUAAUAGCUGUAAUUUAUUUAAGGAACAUAAAAUAAAUUUGCAGUAUUCUGCUCUUCUUAGGUAAAUGUGUUUAAGCACUUUAGUGGGAAGUAGGCGUUUCGAUUCUUUUGCUGUAAACAGUGACAUCAGCAGAAUAAAAGUGAGUAAAUGUUAGUUGAAUCUACAGGGAGUCAGGCAUCAUCAGUAUCUGGCUGAGCUGAGUAAAGAACCCCCAAACCUUGACCUUAGAACAUUCUCCGCAGAAAUACAGAUGUCCUGCACUGUUGAAUGAGCUUCUCUUUGAAGCCACCCACCAUAUGAUGCUUUUCGCUUUUCUUUACAGAGAAUAAAUGGAAAUCUGAGAUUCCAGAUGAAUGACCGGGACCUGCUAUAUCAUUGUUACUCUCUGAUUUCAUAUCAGGGGCUGUGAGAAUCUGUCACUUGUGUUUCAGUUAUUUCCUCAACGACAAAGUGGGAGCUUUUCUCUUCCUUGCAGGAAGGCAGCAGGGAACAUUGCUUUUACACUGGCCUUGAGCCACCGUGUUCCUCUUGCUCCCUUUUGUGUUCCAGCGUCCAGCACAGUCCCUGGCACCCAGGUAGAUGUGGUUACUAAAUGAAUGCAUGCUUAAAUAAGUGAGCAAGCACAAACCCCAAGGAAAUUUUAAUAUGGAGCUUUAAGACACGGUUGGAGCAUAGGGCUUCAGUGAUUCAUCAGUUACUGAGUGCUACGGUAAGGAAGCUCCACCGUAAGCACAAUGUGGGAAAUCUUCAAGACCACACGCCAGGUAAGGUCCACAGCAGGAAGUAUACUGUUUAGUAUCUGCUGCUUUCUCUCGGGGGUCAUAUGUAAAGCUAAGGCAGUUAAGAAAGAAACUGGCUGAAGCAGGAGGGUCACAAGUUGAAGCCCAGUGUAGGCAACCUGGUGACCUAGGGAGAUCCUGUCUCCGAAUUAAAAGGGGUGGUGUGGCUCAGUGCAAAGGCCCUGGGGGUUCAGUCUCUGGUGCUGAAAAAGAAAACAGUAAUAAUCUGAAGCAUUAGAUGCAAACUUUAGAAAAUGAUUUUUUAUAUGACUUUGAGGUUUAAAAGCCAGGUCUCCAAGUACUCAGGAGCCUGGAAGCUGAGUCCUAUUGCUGUGCUUUUGAAUUUACAUACUUCCCAGGGUAGACAGAGGAUGGCUUGGGGCAGCUAUGGGGUGGAGGUGAGCUGAACAAAAUUACACUCUGGCUUAGUCACAUACACAUGUCAAAUAAUCAAACUGACAAGGAAAGACAUUUGUUUUGGAGGGGUCUCUCAAAAUGUGCAACCACUCCUUGGGGUGGAUGGGUGGUGUCUCCUCCUCCUGGUCCUCCAGCUCAGGUUGGAAUUGAACAGUCAUUCCCACUGGGGACUUUCAGGUAAUGAAAGUGCUGAGAGAACUCAUCCUAUUUGUUAAUAGAGGCAGGACCCCCAGGGUCCAGAGCUGAAGAGUCAUUUAAAUAACAAGGCUACAUGACUGGAAGAUAAGACAUGGAGAAAGGCCUAUUCUUUUCCUGGUUAGGGUCCUCACCAAGUAUAUCACAUUACAAUUUCUAUUUUCUUGAUUGGGAAUUUAAAAGAAAGCCAGAGAAAGGUAAAUUGUAAGAACCACUCUAAUGCCAAGGACCUGAAAUCACUCAUUCUCCUUACAUGUAUCAUCUGAUGCUACGUUACAUCCGUAGAGGAGGAAUUACCCCAAAACUCACCAACUGUGCUUCUGUUUUCCUGUCAAUCCCCAAAGCUAAUAUGAAAAGACUCCAGAAACCAUCAUACAUGGAAGUGUGAAAUGAUUUCAAAACUUAAGGAAAUAUAAAUAUAUUUUCAUUUACUAAGCAUUCGAAGGUAGACAGAAAUUAUGAACUUCAGAAGUGGAAAGGAUCAACCAAAAUCCAAUCCGGCGGACGGUGCUCUUCCGUGGAGACAGCGUCAGGCGCGGACUGGCGCCCCUCAGCCUCGUCCUCAGGGACAGCCUCUUCCCCACACCCACUGUGGCUUCCUUUUUGCAGCCGUUCUGGCUGAGCACCUCCGGUUUGCCAACCCUGUGCCCGCCUCGGUGAUGUGUGCCUAACUCUUAGGCUUCCAGUGUGAUGGGGCCACCAGCACCGCAUAAAUGAACGGUCAAUACAACUUGUGAUAGCCCUGAUGAAGAACAGCAAUGGGGCUGUGAGGGAGUAAGGGGAGGUACGGGCGGGUGGUAGACAAAGGAGGUGAUGCCAGAGUUGAGAACUGUAGGGUGGCGAGGCAGAGAGAUGGAGACCACCGGGGAAGGAGGAGGCAGAGGUGGUGAAGAGACCCAGGGAGGAGAAACCCAGGUGUUUGAGGAAAUGCACCCUCCACCUGCUUUCUCUGUCUCUCUCACACACAGAUCCCUGGACCCCUCCUCGGAGGGCCGCUAAUCCCAAGACCUGAGGGUCCAUGCAUGGAUGGGCGGGCGGUGGACCGGGAGGCUCCCGUGGGAGAAACGCAGGCGGAGAGGCCCACGUCUGGACUGUUCAGAACAGCAGGGUGCAUCUGGAAAAGCCAACACCCAGUGGAUUCCUGCUACUGAGUUGAAGACUAAGGGGAUGCAGCUAUUGCGAUGAAAACAAGAGAAACACACAGCCAGUUGCUUUAGGAAGCUGCUGGCUUCACAGACCCCAGGGCUAAUUACAGCAUUUGAGAAACUCCAACCAGCAGCAGAUGCAAAAGGAGUGUUUAAAGUCGGUCUGUGCCGUGGUGUUCACGGAGCCCUGCCCUCAGAUGGGUACCCUGGGGAGCAGAAAUGAGGACCUCAUAUACCAUAGCACGCACAAGCUUCACACACACAAAUUCAGUCUUUCUCUCUGAUUCAGAACAAGGGCCACCCAUCCUUAAGAUGUCACGAGUCAUUGUUUUCGGGUCUGAUGUGUAAUCAGGCCAAACUCAAGGGAAAAAAGGUCACCGACUUCUAUUGUGGUUUUUAGGGGUGAUCUAACCAGAGAGUUUCUUGAAGCUGAGCUGAUUUUCAACCCUGCGGGUGGCGGGGCAGGCCAGAGCAGCUGUUCUCAGCUUUUUCAGGAAACUGACAAACAUGCAGGUCCCAGGGCUCCUGCCCCUGAGACUAAUUCAUUAGGUGACCUUGCUUCAGAAGCUUUAAGGCCACUUGGCCAAUCAGUGGUACCAAGGAAAGAGCUGAGCUUUACUUAAGGGUGACCUGCCCAGAGGUAAGUGACUCAGUAUUCGGGAUCCUCAGGUUCCUCUCUGUAGGACAGGGCUGUGAAGGUCUGAUCUGCAGGGCUGCCGAUGGAGGAUAACGUAUGAGCCAUCCCUGGCAGUGGCAAGCCUGGCCUUGAGCCUGUGUUGGGGUGUGAGAUCCAGGUCAGCCUCCUUAAGAGCCAGCAGGGAGAGUGUGAAGCUCUUUUUGAGGACCUGCUCAGGUUUCUGUGCCUAUCUGUGUCAACCUCAGGGAAUCGUCCCACUCCCUGUCCCCCGGCAGACAAUCAGCUGCAACUGCUCUUCGUUCCUUUUCUUUUUUUUUCCCCCGGGACCGGGAAUCGAACUCACAACCUUGCGCUUGCCAGGCAGGCGCUGUGCCGCUGAGCUAAAUCCCCAGCUGCUCUUGGUUCCUUAAACAUACUUUGCUGUCUUGUUCCGGAACUCCCUUCUUCCUUCCCUUUUCCAAAUUCUGGAAUUCUUGGCUCUUCCAGUCUAAAAGCUUCCUUCCCAUA